rfam:Triticum aestivum genome assembly, contig: Triticum_aestivum_CS42_TGACv1_scaffold_321036_4BL
GUAGUACUCCCUCCGUCCCAAAAUUCUUGUCUUACAUUUGUUUAGAUACGGAUGUAUCUAACACUAAAAUGUAACUAGAUACAUCCGUAUUUAGAAAAAUUUAAGACAAGAAUUUUGGGACGGAGGGAGUACAAA